UUGGUUGUGGUCCUGCCAUUG
rnacentral:siRNA from 1 species